AUUGAACGCUGGCGGCAUGCCUUACACAUGCAAGUCGAACGGUAACAGGUCUUCGGAUGCUGACGAGUGGCGAACGGGUGAGUAAUACAUCGGAACGUGCCUAGUAGUGGGGGAUAACUACUCGAAAGAGUGGCUAAUACCGCAUGAGAUCUACGGAUGAAAGCAGGGGAUCGCAAGACCUUGUGCUACUAGAGCGGCCGAUGGCCGAUGAGGUAGUUGGUGGGAUAAAAGCUUACCAAGCCGACGAUCUGUAGCUGGUCGGAGAGGACGAUCAGCCACACGAGGACUGAGACACUGCCCAGACUCCUACGGGAGGCAGCAGUGUGGAAUUUUGGACAAUGGGCACAAGCCUGAUCCAGCAAUGCCGCGUGCAUGAUGAAGGCCUUCGGGUUGUAAACUGCUUUUGUACGGAACGAAAAGCCCCGGGUUAAUACCCUGGGGUCAUGACGGUACCGUAAGAAUAAGCACCGGCUAACUACGUGCCAGCCGCCGCCGUAA
rnacentral:rRNA from 1 species